UACGUAGGGGGCAAGCGUUGUCCGGAUUUAUUGGGCGUAAAGAGCGUGUAGGCGGCCUUACAGGUCAGCUGUGAAAACUCGAGGCUCAACCUCGAGACGUCGGUUGAAACCGUAUGGCUAGAGUCCGGAAGAGGAGAGUGGAAUUCCCGGUGUAGCGGUGAAAUGCGCAGAUAUCGAGAGGAACACCAGUGGCGAAGGCGGCUCACUGGCCCGGUACUGACGCUGAGGCACGAAAGCGUGGGGAGCAAACAGG
rnacentral:rRNA from 1 species